rnacentral:misc_RNA from 1 species
UGAAUUGUGCCUAUCUGUGCUCGGUUUACCGAAGCAGGGAUGUGGCACUCGGUACUAUAUAUUAAACGACUCUCGGCAACGGAUAUCUCGGCUCUCGCAUCGAUGAAGAACGUAGCGAAAUGCGAUACUUGGUGUGAAUUGCAGAAUCCCGUGAACCAUCGAGUCUUUGAACGCAAGUUGCGCCCAAAGCUUUCGGGCCGAGGGCACGUCUGCUUGGGCGUCACGCAUCGCGUCUCCCCCACCCCACAAUUGUGGGAAGGGGAGGAAGAUGGCCUCCUGUGCCUAACCAGGCAUGGAUGGCCUAAAUGAGGAGCCCAUGGCCUUGAGCUGCAUCGGCGUUUGGUGGUACACAAGGCUAUGCCUAGGUUGCAUCGCGUCGCGCAGCAUUUGGCUAUUGGACUCGUAGGACCCUAACAUGUGCCUUGAGUGACAAAC